CUGCCCUUGUAGGGGUUAUGGUUAGGGUCGGGGCUGGGUUUGCGGCUGGGGUAGGGUCCUCAGGCCACGCCGGGCCUCUCCCCGGCGCCUUGCUCUGGGCUGCCCGUGGAGCGCGACGUUGGUGGGGAAACCCAGAAUUCCCUCUGCAGCUCGAGUCCCUCCUGCCUUCUGGGCUUGUUCCCACUGGGGACGGUGGCAGUCAGGAACUCCGUCCCUGGUCGCGGAGCAGAGCAGCCUUGGUGUCUCCCUGUUCUUCCAGCCCACCCCCAGCAGCAAUGCAGCCAGACCCCAAGCGGUGGCCGUGCUCUCCACAGGGCCCACGUGCAUGAGUGCUUCCUAGGUGUGUGCCCUCUUGGCGCUGAGGCCAGCAGGUUAUUGUUCAGUUCCAGCCUUCGUCAGUGCCAGAUGAAUGGGGGACCACACAAGAUGGACAGACAAGGCCCAGGGUUGUAAAGUGUGGAAUUGAUGAUAACCUUGAUGAAAUUCCCCACGGAAUAUUAAGAAAAUCACUUUACCAAGUAUUGGUCGGUUUUGUCACUUUACCAACUAAACCUUGCUAGAUAUUC